ensembl:lncRNA
CAAGACCAAAAGUGCAGGCACAUCAUUUAUUGAUAAGGCAAAAAAAAAAAAAAAAAGAAAGAAAAAAAAGAAUGUAAUGAAAUUAUCAAUGUUCUUGAAUUAAUUAUGACCAUGAUUAAGAAAGCUAAAAUCUCAGGAGCCGGGAUCCCAUUACCCUUUCAGUCUCGGGGACGGCUUUCACUGAGGGAGAGGCAGAGCGAGCAUCGCUGCCUCCUCGCCUCCGUCUCUCUCCUCUCGUCCUCGCCGUGCAGCACCUCGUUCCACCCGUCUCUCCAUCCCUCCUGUCGUCCUCCACGGCCCGCCACGCGUCCUGCGCUUUCCUGACCCUGACCUCGCCCUGACCCAAGCGGAUGUAAUCCGUCAAACACUUUAAAGACCUGACCCACAGGAACCGG